UGUAUCAAUAAAUCACCUCUUGCGUUUGCAGCCAGUGCCUCGUGCGUCUUUCUUGGACAGGGAACCGGUGGGUCUUUCAUUUGGCGAGCCAGCCAGGAGAACUCCUGUAACCCCAUCCGGAUCCCUGCCCGAGGAACACCCGAUAACCACUGGGAGACCUUGGUCAGGGCUUAAACUGAUAUGCAAACAGAAGCAGCUUGGAGCUCAGGCCCAAG